UUUCUCAGAGUACAUCCUCUGAGCAGCACCUUGUCAUUGUCCAAAGCGUAGGUUUGUCCGUUCAGAGUCAUGGUUCCUUUGAACUUGUCUAGACGGUUAUUGGGAGACUCACAUCGCACUUCACCUGAAAGAGACAGAGCUUCUCACCAUUGAAGCUAGCCAGAGCAUGGAUGCUGUCUCCCAUCUCUCCAGUUACGGUCAGGGCCUGUUUCACCUUCAGAUUGGUUUCACUGGGGGAGACCAAGAGGACAUGAGAAGGAUGCAACUGAAGGGAAAUCCCAGACAGUAUCGUUAUAAUUUCUGCUUACUAUGUCAUCGCUGGCGUCUUUGACUGCUGUGAUGGACAGCACCAAAAUCAGAGGGACAGCCGUGGUGAACCAGGAGAGAGAGGAGAUUUGUG